GGGCUCGCUUGGGCAGCACAUAUACUAAAAUUGGAACAACACAGAGAAAAUUAGCAUGGCCCUUGAGCAAGGAUGACACACAAAUUUGCAAAGUGUUCUGUAUUUUU
ensembl:snRNA U6 U6 spliceosomal RNA